GACCUCGGAUCAGGCCAGGCUACCCGCUGAAUUUAAGCAUAUUAAUAAGCGGAGGAAAAGAAACUAACAAGGAUUCCCUCAGUAACGGAAAGCGAAGCGGGAACAGCUCAAAUUUUAAAUCUCCGGUGCCUGCACUGGCGAAUUGUGGUCUGUAGGGCCAGUUUCGCCCGAGACGGUGUCCCCAAAGUNGUCCUGGAAAGGCGGGCCAAAGAGGGUGAGAGCCCCGUGCGUGGGGGCGCCGUCGGAGGUAAGAUCUGUGCCGAAGAGUCGGGUUGUUUGGGAUUGCAGCCCAAAAUGGGUGGUAAACUCCAUCUAAAGCUAAAUACUGGCACGAGACCGAUAGCG
rnacentral:rRNA from 1 species